GUUCCUAACUUCCUGUUCUGUUCUGGGCGUUGCAAUUGGCUAACAAAAAUAAUCGACCAAUAACAACGCUCAGAGCAGAACAGGAAGUUAGGAAAUUAAAACAGGAAGUUAGGAAAAUUUAAAAUGAAGUUUGGAAUAUUGCAACAGCCGAUAGGAACAUUGCAAAUUCCCUCAAAGGAUUUGCAAAGAGUUUUUCAAAUUUGCAAAGCUAAUGAGGAAAAUUCCAAAUGAGUUACGAAG